AAACAACUAAGAAACAUGCCUAUAUAAUUUAUUUAUAUACAAUUAAAAGCGUAGGGACGAAAACCGAAUUUUAACAAACAUAGAGACCAAAUUAGAAGUUCACAGCCCUUGAUUUUGCAGAAAGUUCAGUGAAGCUCACGGCGACGAAGGAAUAAGGAUAGACGUUUCAUAGUUCAUACGUUAACGCAAAAAGUUAAAAAUCAAGAUCUGGUAGACGGAUUUAUUCCGGAAACGGUGGACGGAGUUAUACCAAAAACAGCGUUUGGCACGGAAUAUUAACAAAAGUGAUGGACAGAGUUUUACUAAGAAUGGUGGUGUUGGACGGAGUUAUACUAAGAAUGGUGUUAACAUGGAGAUGCCUCUGUGGUUAUAAGCGUCGGCAAUUCAAGACUCCAUUAAAAACCCUAAUCGUGAAACGCUCUCUAGAUCUGCGAAGAUGAAGGCGUCGUCAAUUUGAAGAGAAGAAACGUCAACAUCGAUCCGUGUUAAAACCCCUAAUCGUCAACUCAUCUGUCUAGCCUGCAUAUCAAGGUAAUCGAGAUGAUGAAUAAUUAAUAGUUGUGUUAUUGAUAGAUUUAUUUCUUCCAAUAUGAGUUGAAUAAUUAAAAUAGUUGUGCAUUAUAUAUCCCCAUAUGAUGUUUGGGUUUGAGUCCCCGUUUAUGUAAAUUGAAGUAUAUAUCGCAUCUGAUGGCAUUACUAAACUGAUUCUUUUGUUUUAGAUUAUCUUACUAUGAGUUGAUUUUUUACUUAUUGCAUAUGCUUGUUGCAGUUUGCAAAAAACCCUAACUUUUUUGGGAACUUUGUGUUUCGUUCAUACAGAGAGUUUGAAAAUAUAUAGAAAACCAAAUCUUGGUUGAAGAUUCUAAUUUAUCUUAUGUUUUGAUGUUACAAACAUAAAUUAUUAAUAUUGUAAGUGAUCGAGAGGAAACCUAUUUUGUUGAGAUAUGGAACGUCUUGUGAGGAGUUUGGGGGCGAUGGUUNNNNNNNNNNNNNNNNNNNNNNNNNNNNNNNNNNNNNNNNNNNNNNNNNNNNNNNNNNNNNNNNNNNNNNNNNNNNNNNNNNNNNNNNNNNNNNNNNNNNNNNNNNNNNNNNNNNNNNNNNNNNNNUAUAUAUAUAUAGCUUUGAUUGAUUCCUUAAUUUGUUUGCAUUUGCAGCUGCCCUUGAAUCUCUUUGUGUUGCUACUAUGCUGUGCCCUUUUAAAGACUGGAAUUGGUUUGAUGCAAACUUAAUUCCUCGGUAGGAAUUCUUGUUACAAUGCCUUAAUUUUGCAAUAAAUAAAAAAAUGGAGUUAUUUUGCAAUUUUUCAUAUCAUUCCAUUCCAGCAUGGUAUUAAAAACAAGCAAACAAACAAACAAACGACAUGGAAUUAGAAAAAUGGAAGGAAUCGCAUCAAGAAUUAACUGUUGCGGUUGUUUCUAUGUAGGAUGUAACUGAAUCGUAAGGAUUCUUGAAGAAAGAAGUGGCAGAAGUAUGAUGAAAAUUUGGGAGUUUAAGGGUUUGCAACUUAAUUAGCAAGCAUGUUUAUUUUAUUGUUUUUCUGUUGUAGUACUAUUUCGUAAAUUUUAGGUUAAACUCAAAAACCUAUCUCACCCUUAGUAUCGUUUACCCGUAACAACUUCUUUACCAAUCAUAAGGUGAAAUUAAUUUAUAGUUUAGGAGUAAUAUUAGAAUUUGUGUGUUGCGUUCUACAAAAAUCAACUUAUGUAAAUAGUUGUUAAAAUGAAUUUUUUGCAUGGUUUUCAUUUCUCAUUUUUGGACUGUCGAAGGCACUAAGGUUGCGUUUAGUUACGGAAAAACAAUUUUUAUUUUCUGUUUGUUGUUUUUCUUUUUCAAUUUCGUUUUCCAUUUUCAGUUUUCAUUAAAAAUUAAAAAAAUACGUUUAGUUAAAACUUAUUCAUUUUUCAUUUUCAGUUUUAGGAAAUUAGAAAACGUGUUUAGAUUUGUAUUUUUCUAUCGGUUUUCAUUUUUAGAAAACGGUAGUGAUGGUAGGGUGUGGGUGGGGCGGCGACAGACCGGAUCGACGGAGGGGAUGACAGGCGGUGGUGGUGGCGGUGGCAAUUGUGGCAGUGGUGGUGAUCUCGGCGGCGACAGUGGUGGUGCUGGUGAUGGGUAGUGGUGGUGGUGGUGGGUGAUUGUGGUAGUGAUCUUGGGUGGCUGUAUGUGUGUGUGCGUGUGUUUGUGGUGGUGGGGAUGAAGGUGUGUUUGUAGGUGUGUGUGUGUGUNNNNNNNNNNNNNNNNNNNNNNNNNNNNNNNNNNNNNNNNNNNNNNNNNNNNGGUGUGGGGGUGGGUGGGUGUGUGGGUGGGUGUGUCGGUGUGUUUAUAUUUUAGAAAAAAUUUGUAAUUAGAAAAAUAUGGAAAACAAUGAUUAUCAGUUUUUCAAAAAUUUUCAACUUCUUUGUAAUUUUAGAAAACGAAAAAUUUAGAAAAAUAGACGAAUUAAACGAGUUUUCAAAAUUCUCAUUUUUCUUGGAAUUUUUUUUUUCUAGAAAACGAUUUAUUUUUCUAUAACUAAACGCACCCUAAUAGUGUUCAAGUCAAGGAUGUUUCAACUUAGUGUUUUAGCAUAUCAUCCUCUCUCUUAUCCUUGCAAAAACAAAAUGUUGUAGUGGACAGUCGGAAGCCAAUUUAUCUUUGAGAACCGUCAAAUUAAAUUGAAUGUUACAAAACAAUUUUAAACAUGUCUUUCUAAAUUUUAAUCUUAAAUAUAAAUAAACUCAAAAACUUUCUUGAUCCAAGAACACCACAAAUCAUCUUUCACAUACACUCUAGAGAACUCUUAAACUGAAACAACAGUUGAAAUUUUUCGUCCUUUAAUUCCUGUUGAAAACACAUCCCUGAUGCACCGAAACAACCGGUAUUUUAUUUUAUUUUUAUAAAUUUUCGAUCAAAAUGGUCACAACUUAAGUUGGAGUAAAUGUGAAAUUUAUAAAUAACUUUAUAAUCUCAUUUCCGUAAACCAACAUCAACCAUCUUAUGUAUGAUAUUAUCUUUCACAUACAUUCUAGAGAACUCUUAAAUUAAAACAACAGUUGAAAUUUUUUGUACCUUUAAUUGCUGUUGAAAACACAUCACUGAUGCCACCAUAACACCCACUAAAAAAACUUUUAAAUUUUCAAUCAAAAUGGUCUCAACUCAAGUUGGAGUAUAUGAGAAAUUUAUAAAUAACCUUAUAAUCUCAUUUCCGUAAACCAACAUUAACCAUCUCAUGUAUGAUAUUACCUUUCACAUACACUCUAAAGAACUCUUAAACUGAAACAAUAGUUGGAAUUUUUUGUACCUUUAAUUGCUAUUGAAAACACAUCCCUGAUGCACCAAAACACCCACUAAAAAACUUUUAAUUUUCAAUAAAAUGGUCUCAACUCAAGUUGGAGUAUAUGAGAAUUUUAUAAAUAACUUUAUAAUCUCAUUUUCGUAAACCAGCAUCAACCAUCUCAUGUAUGAUAUUACCUUUCACAUACACUCUACAGAGCUCUUAAACUGAAACAACAGUUGAAUUUUUUUUGUACCUUUAAUUAUUGUUGAAAACACAUCACUGAUGCACCAAAACACCCACUAAAAAACUUUAAAAUUUUCAAUCAAAAUGGUCUCAACUCAAGUUGGAGUAUAUGAGAAAUUUAUAAAUAACUUUAUAGUCUCAUUUCCGUAAACCAACAUCAACCAUCUCAUGUAUGAUAUUAUUCCCCUUAAAAUCAUUUCUGUAAAUCGGCGUCAUUCAUCUUAUACGGGGUUAUAUUUCCAUUUAAAGAAUUUAUACUCCCACAUAAAAUAUAUGUUUUAUUAACUUGUAUGAUAGCUACAAUGAAAUUAUAUCGUAUGUAGAUAAAUCAAAUUUUUAAACGGAAAUAUCAACUCUUAUCUCAUAUAUGAUAUUCUAAAUUGGCAUAU
rnacentral:lncRNA from 1 species